AGAGUUUGAUCCUGGCUCAGGAUGAACGCUGGCGGCGUGCCUAACACAUGCAAGUCGAGCGAGGGUUUGCUCAGUAUUGAGUAUUCUAAGUCUAGAAUGUUCAAUUCUGAGCAAAACCAAGCGGCGGACGGGUGAGUAACGCGUGGGUAACCUGCCCUAUACACAUGGAUAACAUACUGAAAAGUUUACUAAUACAUGAUAAUAUAUAUUUGCGGCAUCGCAGAUAUAUCAAAGUGUUAGCGGUAUAGGAUGGACCCGCGUCUGAUUAGCUAGUUGGUGAGAUAACUGCCCACCAAGGCGACGAUCAGUAGCCGACCUGAGAGGGUGAUCGGCCACAUUGGAACUGAGACACGGUCCAAACUCCUACGGGAGGCAGCAGUGGGGAAUAUUGCACAAUGGGCGAAAGCCUGAUGCAGCAACGCCGCGUGAACGAUGAAGGUCUUCGGAUCGUAAAGUUCUGUUGCAGGGGAAGAUAAUGACGGUACCCUGUGAGGAAGCCCCGGCUAACUACGUGCCAGCAGCCGCGGUAAUACGUAGGGGGCUAGCGUUAUCCGGAUUUACUGGGCGUAAAGGGUGCGUAGGUGGUCCUUCAAGUCGGUGGUUAAAGGCUACGGCUCAACCGUAGUAAGCCGCCGAAACUGGAGGACUUGAGUGCAGGAGAGGAAAGUGGAAUUCCCAGUGUAGCGGUGAAAUGCGUAGAUAUUGGGAGGAACACCAGUAGCGAAGGCGGCUUUCUGGACUGCAACUGACACUGAGGCACGAAAGCGUGGGUAGCAAACAGGAUUAGAUACCCUGGUAGUCCACGCUGUAAACGAUGAGUACUAGGUGUCGGGGGUUACCCCCCUCGGUGCCGCAGCUAACGCAUUAAGUACUCCGCCUGGGGAGUACGCACGCAAGUGUGAAACUCAAAGGAAUUGACGGGGACCCGCACAAGCAGCGGAGCAUGUGGUUUAAUUCGAAGCAACGCGAAGAACCUUACCUAAGCUUGACAUCCCUCGGACAGGUGUUUAAUCACACCCUUCCUUCGGGACUGAGGUGACAGGUGGUGCAUGGUUGUCGUCAGCUCGUGUCGUGAGAUGUUGGGUUAA
rnacentral:rRNA from 1 species